rnacentral:rRNA from 1 species
UACGAAGGGGGCUAGCGUUGCUCGGAAUCACUGGGCGUAAAGGGUGCGUAGGCGGGCCUUUAAGUCAGAGGUGAAAUCCCAAGGCUCAACCUUGGAACUGCCUUUGAUACUGGGGAUCUUGAGUCCGGGAGAGGUGAGUGGAACUGCGAGUGUAGAGGUGAAAUUCGUAGAUAUUCGCAAGAACACCAGUGGCGAAGGCGGCUAACUGGUCCGGUUCUGACGCUGAGGCGCGAAAGCGUGGGGAGCAAACAGG